AUAAUUAAGCUACAGUAAUCCUCUCCUAAUGAUGCCACGUCACUUUGAUUACUGUUGCUAAUCUCGCGUUAGAUCAAAACCGAUUAAAAUUCAAAUUCAAAAUCAAGUAAACAAUAGAAGUUUUCAAAUAUUAAAACUAAAAUGUUCGGAGUGAACCAAAUAUUGCAUAGGUAAUUAGGGUGGAGAGACCACAUUUUUAUAACAUAAUUAAAUGCUCUCGGAUAAAUAAAACAUCAGCAAAAACAAGUAGUUAUACUUUAUAAAAUUUUAAACUAAUUUAUUUUGGAGUUCAACAUUUUGUGGCAGUGGACUUAAUUUUAGUACUAAGUUAGGUGCUAAAUACAAAACUAAAAUAAAAGGAGACUAAUAAAACAAAAAAGAAAUAACAUAAAAAGGGAAAAAAAGGAAACCAGUGUACAUGGCCCAACACGCACAGUGCCAGGCCCAGCACAUCACAAGGUUGUCUUCAACCCUGUUCAUCAGGGCGCGUGGACGCUGGUGUGCCGUCCAUGGCGCGGAUGCCGCACGCGGCAGGCAUCCAGCGAUGCCCCACGCCGUAUAAGACCUCCCCUGAUCCCGUGGUCGAACCCUAUCCCCACUUUCCCCCUUCGCCCACGCCGCUUCUUCUUCCCCGUGACGACACAAGACCUCCAUCGCCAUGGUCACCCUCACCCGCGCGGACAGCGACCUCCCCGCCGCCUAGGACUAUGCCUGGAAGCACCGCCACCGCCCGCUUCUUCCUCUCCGACCCCGAGCUCGAGUAGAAGAUCGCCACCGCGUCGGGAUCGACCAAGUCCUCCUCUGCUGUCGCUGGCGUUCGUCGCCAAAUCCAUCGACCCCUGCUGCUCCCGUUCACUCAACGAGCCUCCUUGAGCUCCUAGGUGAGCUCCGUCAUAAAUCCCCUCUGCUAGCUUCCUCGUGCUCGUCCUCUAGCGCUAGUCUCCGUCAUAGCCGGAUCCUGUCGCCGCUUUUCGCCUCGUCACCGUGGCGGCAAGCACAGCUUGUGUCCGAGCUCUGCAGCGAGCUCGUUGGCUCUCUAGGAACCCACGACACUCACCAAACCAUCUCCCCGUGCCCCGCAGCUCCGAGUCCGGGCAGGCCCGAACUCCAGCAGCCGCCAUUGUCGACGCUGCGCUCGCCUCCGGCCACCCCAGCCACCACUACCACCCCCGUCCGACGUGCCGUGGUGCGAGAGUUCGAACUAGACCGGCUAUGCAUCCAUCCGUCGCCUGUGUAAAAAUCCCGGUGAGGUCUGUGCUCGCCGUUGAGCUCCUGCGCGCGCCGGCCGCGUCCAGUGAGCCGCCCCUCGCCUCCGGCCGCGACCUUGGCCGCCCUACGCGUGCUCGCCCAGGCUACAUCCUGCUUUGCCGCGCGUCGCGUCUUCUGCCGCUGCUUCUGUUGCUCUGCUCUACUGCUACUUUGCUCUGUCGCCGCUGUUCUGAGUUCUGCUGCUGCCGCUGCAUAUGGCUGCUAGUUGCUGUUGUUCAGGCCGCUGCGUUGCUGCCUUAGUUGCUGCUUAGCGGCAGCAGAUGGCCGCGCUGCUACUGCUCAACCCUGUUGCUGCGUUGCUAUGUUACUGCACCACUAUGCUGCUGCUUUCGGCCAUCCAGGCCAAGGCCAUGGCCAAGUGUGUGCGUCCGAUGUGUGUGCUGUUUGUGUGCGUACGUGUGUGUUAGGGCCGGCCAGUUAGUAGUGCUAAUUAACGUUAGUUAGAUUAAUUAGUGGUUAGGUUAUCCUAAUGGGCCAAUGACAUGCGGGUCCCAUUUAGUUAUUAACAGCAAAAAGAAACCUAAAUACAACUACUCUCCAUGACACGCGGGACCCAGUGCACUAUUCACCCUUUGACCAGUCAGAUGUUGACUGAGUCAACUUAGUCAACAUGCCCCACAUGUCAGCCUCUGUAGACCCUGAUGUGUACACUUCAGUGUGUGCACAUAGCAUUUGACUAUUAAUUUUGAAUUAAUAACAAUUCUAGAAUUUUGGAAUAUCUAUUAAAACUUUGAAAAAUAAUAUAAAAUAAACCGUACCUCAGAUGAAAACACUUUGUACAUGAAAGUUGCUCAGAACGACGAGGCGAAUCCGGAUACGCAGCCCGUUCGUCCGCUACACAUCCCUAGCAUAGCAAACGCACAACUUUCCCCCUCCAAUUCAUCUGUCCGAAAACGCGAAACACCGGGAAUACUUUCCCGGAUGUUUCCCCCCUUCGCUGGUAUCACCUAUCCCUGCGUUAGAUCACCUCUAGCAGCACGUUUGUCAUGUUAUGAUUUGAUUGCUCUGUUAUUUAUUGUGUUCCCCCUCCGUUACUUCUUUCCGGUAGACUACGAGACCGACGACGCUGAUGCCCCGGUCGACUACGGUGUUGAUGACCCCCCUCUCUUGCCAGAGCAACCAGGCAAGCCCCCCCCCCUUGAUCACCAGAUAUCGCCUACUCUCCUCUAUACUGCUUGCAUUAGAGUAGUGUAGCAUGUUACUACUUUCCGUUAUCCUAUCCUGAUGCAUAGCCUGUCCUUGCUACUACUGUUGUUACUUUUACCUGCAAUCCUAAAUGCUUAGUAUAGGAUGCUAGUUUACCAUCAGUGGCCCUACAUUCUUGUCCGUCUGCCAUGCUAUACUACUGGGCCGUGAUCACUUCAGGAGAUGAUCACGAGCAUAUGCUAUAUACUUUACACUGUUACAUUACUGGUGAUACUGUUUGGAGAUGGGGGCUGAAGGGGCAGGUGGCUCCAUCCAGGUAGUGGUGGGCCUGAGUUCCCGACGGCCCCCGACUGUUACUUUGAGGCGAAGCGACAGGGCAGGUUGAGACCACCUAGGAGAGAGGUGGGCCUGGCCCUAGUCGGUGUUCGCAGAUACUUAACACGUUUAACGAGAUCUUGGUAUUUGAUCUAAGUCUGGCUACUGGCCUAUACGCACUAACCAUCUACGCGGGGACAGUUAUGGGCACUCGACGUCGUGGUAUCACCCGAAGCCUUCGUGACGUCAGCGACUGAGCGGCGCGCGCCGGAUUGGACUGGAACGCCUACUGGGCUAGGUCUGCUUCCGGCCGCGUUCGCAACAUGCAGGUGUGCAAUGGGCGAUGGGCCCAGACCCUUGCGCCAUAGGAUUUAGACCGGCGUGCUGACCUCUCUGUUGUGCCUAGGUAGGGCUGCGACGUGUUGAUCUUCCGAGGCCGGGCAUGACCCAGGAAAGUGUGUUCGGCCAAAUGGGAUCGAGCGUGUUGGGUUAUGUGGUGCACCCCUGCAGGGAAGUUAAUCUAUUCGAAUAGCCGUGAUCUUCGGUAACAGGACGACUUGGAGUUGUACCUUGACCUUAUGACAACUAGAACCGGAUACUUAAUAAAACACACCCUUCCAAGUGCCAGAUACAACCGGUGAUCGCUCUCUCACAGGGCGACGAGGGAAGGAUCAUCGGUUAGGUUUAUGCUAUGCGAUGCUACUUGGAGGACUUCCGUCUACUCUCUUCUACAUGCUGCAAGAUGGAGGUUACCAGAAGCGUAGUCUUCGAAAGGACUAGCUAUCCCCCUCUUAUUCCGGCUUUCUGCAGUUCAGUCCACAUAUAAUAGCUUUAUUCCAGUUGAUACCAGUGCAUACAUAUGUAGUGUAGCUCCUUGCUUGCGAGUACUUUGGAUGAGUACUCACGGUUGCUUUCUCCCUCUCUUCCCCGUAUCCCUUCUACCUGGUUAUCGCAACCGGAUGUUGGAGCCCAGGAUCCAGACGCCACCGUUGACGACGACUCCUACUACUCGGGAGGUGCUUACUACUACGUGCAGCCCGCUGACGGCGACCAGGAGUAGUUUAGGAGGAUCCCAAGCAGGAGGCCUGCGCCUCUUUCGAUCUGCAUCCCAGUUUGUGCUAGCCUUCUUAAGGCAAACUUGUUUAACUUAUGUCUGUACUCAGAUAUUGUUGCUUCCGCUGACUCGUCUAUGAUCGAGCUCUUGUAUUCGAGCCCUCGAGGCCCCUGGCUUGUAAUAUGAUGCUUGUAUGACUUAUUUUAUUUGUAGAGUUGUGUUGUGAUAUCUACCCAUGAGUCCUUGAUCUUGAUCGUACACAUUUGCGUGCAUGAUUAGUGUACGGUUAAAUCGGGGGCGUCACAAGUUGGUAUCAGAGCCGACUGCCUAUAAGAAUCCCCCUUUCCAACUCCUUGGCCGAAGUCGAGUCUAGUCAUUGAAAAACUUUUACUAACAUGGCUGUGCGGCUUAUGGGCCCACGUCGCCAUCUGGCUGGUAUUAGGAUCUUUUACUCCUCGAUCCUUACUCUGGGACUCUGAACUCUCUUCUAUUCGGGUUAGAUGAAUUUUGCUAAAUCUAACAUUAGGAUCUCGUUAUCACUUUCACCCGGAGAUCCCCUUAUUACCGAUGAUCGUCUGCUGCACGUGAAGACCCUGAAGAUACUCUCCGCUGUUAACCCGAGAACUUGUGUUCAUCGCGUUUACAAUUCCCCUUCCACCGUCAACCCUUAUGGAUAAAUACUUGCAGUUGUUAUGCUUACAUACAUCCCUAGUUGGUCUUGUUAUUACAAGAUACCCCGAAAUACUCAUCAUUGUUUCGAUAAUCCUUUGAGCUUACUGCCUUGCUAUUCUUUGUCAUCUGAAUACCCUUAUGGAUAAUUCCUCGCAUUUGUCGAGUAUGUUUUCAUCCCUAGUUGUUCAAGUGUUUCAUGAAGGUCUUCGAAAUACUAUUCAAUCUUCCGAAAAUCCUCAGUAGCUUAAUGCUCUGUGAAUACUUGUCUUCUUACAUUAUGGUUAAUUCCAUAUGUCUAGUAGUCUUCGUUGACAUCCCUUGACUUUGCCAUUUUGACCCUAAUGAUUCAAUAUGUGCGUAUGCACGCGAUCAUCAGAAUAUCCUUUUAAAUUAUCUUCCUGUCUCAAACGGUAUUUUAAACAGGAGCUGGAUCUCGACCAAUCUAAUUGCCAUCGAUUAUUCCCCUAAGCCUACUCGGCUUACCCAUCCUUAAUCAGAGCCCUUGCUUCUGAUCCCUUGUCUUGGAAUUCAUAAUUCAUUUGCCUUUGAGCUUUGAGUUAGUCAGUUGUUUCUAUAAUCUGAUCUCCUCGCCUUCGUUCUUCCUCUGGUUGAGUAUCGAUGCUCAUGUCGAAUCCCUUACAGACCACCAGACCCUUUGCCGGAUUUUAUCCAACAACGUCCUUCAUAUUUAAUAAGCCUGUGAGCCUUUUCCUUGGAUACAUAAUGCCUUUAGUAAAUUGUAUCCUCUAUUUCCUCAACCAUGCUUUGUUUCCGAGCUGGUGGUAUUUACGAUUUAAGCUUGUGGUAUAUGUUUCUAUGAAACCCCGAUGGGUUGAACCUAUACAACCUUCUCUAAAACCGUGUGAACUCGAAAGUUUUCAUGAGUCAUACACUUCUGGUAUUUUGCCAGAUGAAAUUUCAACAAUACAACUUCUUCAAAAGUGAGAAGUGAAUGAAAGGUUAUGUAUUGGAGAAGUGGGAGUCGACCUUGAACAUUGUGUUCAUGCCCAUGGACACGAUAUAGAUCUUAUCGUUAAAGCUUAUCUUAAAUUAAAUUAUUCCUUUGGUAUAAGUUCAUCUUAUAUCUGGGAUCUGACCUUUUGCAAUCGUGGUUCCGACCAUGUUCUCCUUUAAAUACCAUUUCGCGUGCAAGUUUAAGUGCUUGUCUUUUGUAGAGCAAUACCCCAUUCCAACCUCUACUUUGACCUGUCAUCGAGUAUUACCCCCUCUGGUAUGUCGAGAUUAUCGCGGAACUGCAUAACUUCUUAUGAGUUCUUCUUCAAGUAUUAUUUGACUUUCGCUGCAUCAUCAUUUGACUUGAUGUCAUCGCCAACCGAUUACAUCUUCAUGAAAUUUCUCGACAAAUGUGUCGUAGUCAUCAUCAACAUCCUGAGCUCUUCCAAGAUAUAUAUCGAAUUCUUGAUGAGAAAUACCAUCCUCGCCCCUCAAUGGUUUGUGUUAUCACCGACCACUUUAUUGCCUUCCGUUCAACACAAACUUAUUCGUGUUUUGUGUUAUACCUUGAGAUCCUUGCUAUCCAGCAUUUGUUCUUCCUUACCUUGGAAGGUUACCACCCUUUUUGUCAAGAAUGUCGUGGUAAUUUUACCACCUCUUGAGAAUUCUUGAUAUAGUAAUAUCUCUCACCUUUCUCAUUCAUUUCUUGGUCUCCGUGUUGUUUCUAACCGGAAUACCGACAAAUGGUCUGUGAUGUGCAAAUUCUAAACUUCUAGCAACCCUAUUGCUUUGAAGUUAUUGGUCUACAGUUUCAUUCUAAGUCUAUUGCUUAUUGAAUCAUCAUUCGAACAUUGAUCGUGCUACCUAGUCCAGAUUCCUGGGUGCACCCUUCUAUCAUUGUUCAGUUGUGUAUGUUCCCCUCGAGCAUACAUCGUUAUAUCAUUUGAUCCGACAAAUGAUAUUUCCUUGUUCACAUAAUUGUGGAAAUCAAUCCUUUGGAAAUCUCGAUGAUUUGUUGCUGAGCCUAUCAGCCACCUCCUCAUCCUCUCCUUCGUUUACUGAUGAACUCUUGUUUCAGAACCCGCUUCUAUUGUUCAUUUCCCGAGAAUCUUACAAUGUCUUCUCGUCAAUUUGUGUUGCACCUUUUCUUCUCAGACAUUCUGAGUCUGAUGUAUCCUGACACCAAUCAGAUCUGAAUCUCGGUCAGGUAUGAUGGUUGUAACGUAUUUCCAAGAGUUAUAACAUUGGUCUUUAACCCGAUAGGGUGAUUUCAUCCUAACACACCUGCCCGGAGGGCCUAUUGUUAUAGUUUCCUUACUAGCAAGGUUAGUCAUUCUUCCAUGAGUAAUUUGUAAAACUUGUGUAUCAUGUUAAUGAUAUCUCGAAGAUUGUCUGUGGUACUCCGAUUUUCAACAAGAACAUUUGAAGCCCAAUGCCAAAUGUUUCUUGCUCGAUUAUCCAAACACCGUUGUAUGGGUAAUGGCAGGAAAUUUCUCUCCCCUUUCCUAAAGGGUUUUCUACGUUAUAUCCCGUCAUGGAUAUCAUGCUCUGCUUGCCCUUGGGAAGGAUAUACCCCUGAAAUAUGUGUUUAAACACAUUUUCCUUUACAUUGUUCUGUUUAAUCUGAUGAUCACCUUUUCCUUUCCAUUUGUUUUGUUAAUCUUUCUUGCGAUCUAUAUGAUCUAAGCAGUAAUAAUUCACUGCUUAUGUAAACACCUCGGUGUACAACUCUGUCAGUAAGACUCUGUUACUAUUGUUGAUGACAUUCUGGUAACCACUGAUGGACGAGAACCUUGCCUAUUGGUCCGCCUCGUUCAACGAGCAGGAAAAUGGUUCUCUUCGUCCCUCGCCCUUGGUACCGACGUUGUUGCCGAACUAAUCGACAGGCUACACUCUGACAUGCCUUGCUUGCAUGAUCAUGCAAGACGUCUCCGCCCCUCCUACUUUUAACCCACAUGCUGGGCCCAUAACCCACAGUUCCACAGGAUUGAAACCUAACUCUACUGUACACCCCCUCUUCCCAAGGUUGUUCCUCGCGCGUGGCCUCGUAUGUAAUUCUUGAGCCACCCCCAGUGAGAUCAUCAAUUCUGGUAUCAAACACGAUACUUAUCCCCGUUGCUUUGAACCCCUUUCAUGCCCUGUUUCAGGCAUCGAGCGAUUGCCUACCCACUCGAAACUUCCCACGAUACCUCCUUACUUUGCUCUCGAUAAUUUCUUAAGUUUCAAUUCGAGAGUUACUUUUUGCCACCUUCCCUAAUGUUAUCUACCGGAUAAACAACCGUGUAGAGUUCCGUUCUUUCGAGUUACCCCUUAUCCUUUUACGUAAGUACGAUGGAGUUCCCAAAGAAAGGAUGACAACUUUGUCCCGAUAAAUAGGAGUAGAGGAAUGGAGGGAUCAAUAUCAUGGAGCAAACUCUUUGAGAAGAGCAACCAAGACCGAGAAGAUCCAAUAGAAUUUCUUAAUCAGAACUUUCCCCCUUAUUCCACCUCUUAAAUCUCGGGACGAGAUUCUUGUUGUGGAGGAGAAUUGUGAGGCCCAGAUAAUUAAGCUACAGUAAUCCUCUCCUAAUGAUGCCACAUCACUUUGAUUACUGUUGCUAAUCUCGCGUUAGUUCAAAACCGAUUAAAAUUCAAAUUCAAAAUCAAGUAAACAAUAGAAGUUUUCAAAUAUUAAAACUAAAAUGUUCGGAGUGAACCAAAUAUAGCAUAGGUAAUUAGGGUGGAGAGACCACAUUUUUAUAAAAUAAUUAAAUGCUCUCGGAUAAAUAAAACAUCAGCAAAAACAAGUAGUUAUACUUUAUAAAAUUUUAAACUAAUUUAUUUUGGAGUUCAACAUUUUGUGGCAGUGGACUUAAUUUUAGUACUAAGUUAGGUGCUAAAUAAAAAAACUAAAAUAAAAGGAGACUAAUAAAACAGAAAAGAAAUAACAUAAAAAGG
rnacentral:lncRNA from 1 species